rnacentral:lncRNA from 1 species
UUUCUUAAGAGUCCAGGAUUUACUCCAGAUACUUUUAGGAGAUCGCUUGAAAGCUGCUGUACGAGUUCCACGUUUAUUUCUCUAGGGAUUCUUUCAGGAAUGCUUUCAAGAAUUCCAUUGCUAAAAAUAAUAAUCUAGAAGUACAUCAUUACCCAAUGCGUUGAAAGAAGUCAACACACAAAGCGAUAAUAAAAACAAUUUGUAAGCAUUCAUUGUUGGUAUGAUUGCACAUAAAAACGGUUUGUUAUUUUAUUGUCGACUUUGUUGCUGGGUUGGAGCUGCUGGUUGGUAGGUAAAAUCAAACAAAAAGACAUUUUCCCACAUUUAAGUAGGGUAUGUGUACUAAUUCACAUGUGCAUCACCGGGGAAUGCUUAAUCGCUUUUAACGCACAGCAGAAGCCACCCACACGCGACUUAAGUCGGCAGCUGUGAAAAGGGGGAAAUUACCAUGAUUCGUACCGUUAGAUUUCGCACGACUAUCUCCAAGGUUAAUUGCACGCUUAUGUUUAAUUCAUGGCGCCUAAUCGCGUACGUGCACGUGUAAUUAUGCUCAAGCUAUUAACUGCACAAAAUGCUCAUCAACUAAUCUAACCGACCGCUUGGAAACGCUUUUCGCUUCGCUGAACUAUUGACCCAAUGCACAGUGGGUUAAAACUGAUCAAAAGCAGAAAACAAUUCUAUAUCUUGUGUCAUUGUAGCGAUUCAGUUUACCGUUUUUCAAUCAAAUCGAAAAAUCUCUCGGUUCCUUACUUUUGUCUUUGAACAACCCUCUGAAACUCAUAAGAAAAUAACUGAAAUUUUUUCAUCCAAAUUUCAGUCAAUUUGGAUCACCGGAAGCUGAGAUACAGAUCUUCAAACUUUGGCAUUUUGUAGGGAAAACAGCAUUUGAUUUUUAACUUUUGUCACUGACUGUAGUACUAAAUUCGAUUUUCAUUUAUUUAUGUGUAUGGUAGGUACUAAACAGCUA